GAGGGACCGACAGAGCGGGAACCAGCCCGGAGACAGGCGCUCACAGGGCGUCCGGUGCUGUGACAACGCCAGGCCACGCAGAGGAAGGCCACGAAGAGGAGCAAACCCAGAAAAAAGGCAGGAACCACGUUCUUUUGCCGGAGACAGACUCGCCCGAAGACGCCAGUGGGAUCUGCAAACACACCGCCCCGCGGUAGCCCCUCCCACGACCGGGCGUCACCGCCCCGGAAACCGCUCCGCUGGUGUCCAGCUCGUUCUCUCGUCUGUCCGGCUGAGGCGCUGCCCCCUGGCAGCAUCUGGUAGUGCAACGGCCUGACGUCAUGAACAGCUGCGCAUUUCUGGGUCGCCUGGGGGCUCAGGCCGUUGAGCGCCCA